ensembl:miRNA
AGGGUGGGCUCCUGAUCUCUCACUGGGGCCUCCAAAUGUUGCACCCAAGCACCCAACACGCAAGAGCACCACACACUGAUAAGAUCUGGAAGUCCUUUACU